UACAGAGGUCUCAAGCGUUGUUCGGAUUCAUUGGGCGUAAAGGGUGUGUAGGCGGCGCCGUAAGUCGGGUGUGAAAUUUCGAGGCUUAACCUCGAAACUGCAUUCGAUACUGCGGUGCUUGAGGACUGGAGAGGAGACUGGAAUUCAUGGUGUAGCAGUGAAAUGCGUAGAUAUCAUGAGGAAGACCAGUGGCGAAGGCGGGUCUCUGGACAGUUCCUGACACUGAGACACGAAGGCCAGGGGAGCAAACGGG
rnacentral:rRNA from 1 species